UCCUCGGUAGUAUAGUGGUGAGUAUCUCCGCCUGUCAAUAUAAUAGCAGUGCGUGGAAGACCCGGGUUCGAUUCCCGGCCGGGGAG
rnacentral:tRNA from 1 species